CCUGUAGUUUCCCUGCUCGUCUUCCUCCUCGUUUCCCCAACCUUUUCUCCUUUUUUUGUUUUCUCCUCCGCGCAGCCGCGCAGGCGAUUUCGAGGCGACGGAUUUUUCGACGGCGAGCGGCGCCGCUGCGGCGAACGAGGACCUGCACCCGGGAGGCGCGCGUCGCGGGCUACCACGAGCGGCCGCCGUAGUCGCCGGCGUCGUUUUUCUGCGCGGCGACGAAGGGGAGCACACCGAUUUUUGUCAGGUGCAACAUGGCAACGCAAAUUAUUAGUCAGGUGCAAUCUGGCAAAAUUUACUGAUGAACGGUGACCCUCCAAUCAUUUAGGCGUCCUGUGGGGUGGCCAAAGAAGGUCAUGCCGCAAGGAGGCUUAUCGUUCUACACAGGCACCACUGGCACUGGCUGACCAGCCAUGAUCAUGAAGUUGCCGGCGUCGAUAUGGAAUCUCUGAAGUUAACACUUCAGAGAAGCAUGCUAUUUCAACUAAUGGAAGCAUACACUUCUUCCCUGAUCCAGAUCCAAAUUUCAACUAUGGGGAUUAGGGACAUGGAACCAUAUGCAACGUUUUACGUGGAUAUGAACAUUGAUGUAUUGCUGAGUUCUUUUCCUACUGUUUUGCCUAUUGUUUAGAUAAGCAAUUUUUCGGGAUAUGAUGUCUGUGAUUUGCAAUGCACAGAACGAAGGAGAAACAUAUUUUGUUGGGGGCUGUAGGUAUAAGACCAGGGGCAAAUAUAGUCAGAUUAGGAAAGCAAAAGACAAGGGUGAAAACUUUUAUUACCGAAGCAUGUGGUGGUGGACUGUGCUUUUGAUGCAACAUUUGUGUCAGUUUUUCUCAAGCAACUUGUCUAUCCAUGAAAUAUUGAUUGUAUGUGUCAGAUCGAUGUAGUACUUCUGCUUCUAUUCAUGAUAGAGUUGCUUUUCUACA